CUCCAUGCAGCUGCAGUUAUUCUCUAGAAUUAAAUUUGAACAAGGAUUAUACGUUACAAAUUGCCACCAGACUUCCAUAAUAUAAUACAGCGGAAAUAUACUUUGUAUUAAUUUUUGUUAUAAUUCUGAUAUUUGGUAAUUUCCGAAAUUGGCACACUCCCCCACACAAAAAUUUUACGGAUACUAUUACAAUGCUUAUCCCGUAUAACAGAAUUUUUGUCCUCUCCAAAGUCAACCAUAAAUAUCGUUGUUAAAUGAGAGAUGUACAACGACGAUGAAAAAAUAAACAAAAAUAACAAUAUUGAUGUUAGCGAUCGGUAUUCAGUGAGAAAUUAAAUCGAUAGAAGAUGAGUCCACCAAUUAUUUUAACUUCAACGCUGUACGUAUAGAUACUAUAGAAUAUAGUCAUCGUAUUUGUACGUCACGGGUGUGUCGUGUGUACGUUUGUGUACUCGAAAAGUGAAUUUCAAAUGUAUAUCUUAAACCUUUCACCGAUGAAUACAUUCGCAUAACCUAACCCUUUAAAAACAUCUGUUAUGAAUAGAAUUAUUAGUUAGUAAACGUAAGAUAAAAUAUAGAAUAACUACAAUGUUGUAAUUUAUUUCUAUUUGAUUUUUUUCCGUGACGUGUAAAGAGAAACACGAUACCACAGAUAUCUACCUAUACAUCAUCACGUUAAAAUAAAUCGAUCAAUUCCGUCAAAUCACCUUAAAUUAUAACGAUUCUUUUAUAUUAAGGUUUGACUAUUCUCGUCGGCUUAGUACUAUUAUAGGUAUUGUAUAAGAAUUGGCAUUGGUUGCUUAGCGACGCUUAUUGCAUAUUAUAGCCGUCUCCGAUGUUAUACCUAUAUAGUAUAUAAUAAUACUACGUUAAAGCUUCGGAUGUCCCCGAAACGUAGCUGAAAAAUGUUAACCUCUAUUGAAACUCAGAUACAAUAUACGUCAGCAGCGUAACAGAAUCUUUUGUUAUCACCAAAAAACUUACUAAAAAUAGUUCAAAAUUAUAUAACGCAACACAACAACAGUCUGGUGCACAAACCAAUUAGUUACAAAAUAUAUCAUUGCUCGUUACUCGACUGUCGUUAGUCGUAUAACUGGAAAAUGUCUGUUCUAAGGUGGUACAGGCAUAAUAUAUCAUUGAUGUGGAAAUCAACUACCUAGUUGAAAAGAACUUGAGUAGUUUAUUUACAUCGGUGGCACAACACACGGCCGUUUUAUAGUAUACCUUUCGAUGUAGUGGUCAUUGGUGUGUGUACGUGUAUGGAGUACAUCAUCACUACAAGAGGCUUGUAGCUUGUUCACCGAUGGGACGGAAAACCUAAGAAGGAUCUAAAACUCUCAACUCGAGAGUAUCAACAUACUUUCCGAACAAAAAAAAUUAAACCAUAAUUGCGCAUAAAUGUUAUAUUUAUAACACAGAAAAAUGACUUUUAACUAGAACCAAGUAGAUUGUUAUAUAGAGAUAGAGUGUUCAAAUAACUUUCAAAAAGUGAGCAUCUGACUAUAAUAGAAUACAACAAUAAUAAUAAUGAUUGUAGAAUAGUUGGUUUUCAACAGUUACACCAACCCGGUAAAUGGUAGGUAAUCUAUGUAUAGUAAUAUUGUGAUUACUGCUAAUAAAAUGAAAAUAAAUGUUUUAUUUAUUAGUGAACGAAAACGGUCACAUUACUACAUCGUUAUAUUUUUACAAUAAAUCAAUCACAAUUUGUAGUUCAGAAACUAAUCGAUUAAAGUUGUAUAAAAAUUUUUGGGAUUUAAUGUCAAACAAUAUUUUUUAGAAAAAAAGACAAAUAUACAUAGUUAUUUUUUUAAUUAACAUUUAAUUCUAUCUGAACUGUAGUUUUACUUUAACUUUAUUGCUUUGUAUAAUACUACUCCUGUGGAGCCGACCGCGAGAUAUGAACCGGAUGACAUUUUAACUGUACAUAGAAUGUAUAAAUGCCAUGUCACAAUAUUUAUAAUUGAUAAAUUUAUGAUACUUUAAAAACUUACGUUUUUUCUGUUACAAUCAUAGAAAUAAAAAACUAUAAAUAAAAUAUUAUUGCUUAAUUCUUAAAGAUAUAAUAAAAACUGUUUGAAUAUAAUAUUAUUAAAGGUGUAUUUUUAAGGAAGUGUCCUCCAUGUCUAGACACCCUCGCCCACUUCAUAAGAAAUAGACCAAUGUAUUAUUAAUAUUUGCUAAAGUGAAAUUCAUUUUAUUAGAUCCGACUACAUGUUUCGAUUUGUAUACAUAUAAGCCAAGUUUACUUACCAUAGUAUUACUAUAUUACUAAUGCUGAAAAUCUUAUAUUGACCAUCAUUACUACGAAUUAUAUAAUAUUGUCAUUAUUUACUGUAUUAUACGAUUUUGAU